rnacentral:rRNA from 1 species
CAGCCGCCGCGGUAAUACCGGCGGCCCGAGUGGCGGUCACUAUUAUUGGGCUUAAAGCGUCCGUAGCCGGGUUGGGAAGUCCUCCGGGAAAUCUGGCCGCUUAAAGGUCAGAAUGCCGGAGGAUACUCCCAGCCUAGGGAGCGGGAGAGGCCGAGGGUAUUCCCGGAGUAGGGGGGAAAUCCUAUAAUCCCGGGAGGACCACCUGUGGCGAAGGCGCUCGGCUGGAACGCGUCCGACGGUGAGGGACGAAGGCCAGGGGAGCAAACCGGAUUAGAUACCCGGGUAGUCCUGGCUGUAAACGAUGCGGACUUUGUGUCGGACAAGCUAUGAGCUUGUCCGGUGCCGGAGGGAAACCGUUAAGUCCGCCGCCUGGGGAGUACGGCCGCAAGGCUGAAACUUAGAGGAAUUGGCGGG